CGGGAGCAUGUAAAUGUAAGCGGAUCUCAAAAAAGCCAUCCCAGUUCGGAUUGUGGGCUGCAACCCGCCCACAUGAAGUUGGAGUUGCUAGUAAUCGCGGAUCAGCAUGCCGCGGUGAAUACGUUCCCGGGCCUUGUACACACCGCCCGUCACACCAUGGGAGUUGGGAGCACCCGAAGCCGGUGAGUUGACCGCAAGGGGACAGCCGUCCGAAGGUGAGACUGAUGACUGGGGUGAAGUCGUAACAAGGUAUC
rnacentral:rRNA from 1 species